UUGAAACAUUGGUUCCCAUAUAAUCUGUAAAGUUAAGCAGCAUCAAGCCUGGUCAGUACCUAGAUGGUUGACCAUUUGGGAAUACUAGGUGCUGUAAG